rnacentral:rRNA from 1 species
GUGAGGAAUAUUGGACAAUGGGCGCAAGCCUGAUCCAGCCAUGCCGCGUGCAGGAAGACGCAUCUAUGGUGUGUAAACUGCUUUUGUACGGGAAGAAACACUCCCUCGUGAGGGAGCUUGACGGUACCGUAAGAAUAAGGAUCGGCUAACUCCGUGCCAGCAGCCGCGGUAAUACGGAGGAUCCAAGCGUUAUCCGGAAUCAUUGGGUUUAAAGGGUCCGUAGGCGGUUUAAUAAGUCAGUGGUGAAAGCCCAUCGCUCAACGAUGGAACGGCCAUUGAUACUGUUAGACUUGAAUUACAAGGAAGUAACUAGAAUAUGUAGUGUAGCGGUGAAAUGCUUAGAUAUUACAUGGAAUACCAAUUGCGAAGGCAGGUUACUACUUGUGGAUUGACGCUGAUGGACGAAAGCGUGGGGAGCGAACAGGAUUAGAACCCCUGUAGUCC